rnacentral:rRNA from 1 species
GCUCCACUCAAUGGCACGAUGCUAGCGUACUGAAAGCGGAUCGGCACUGACUGAGCAUACCGCAGUCUACGGAGGCAGCAGUAGAAUUCCUCCGCCAUGACCGAAAGUCGACGGAGCACGCCGCUGAGUAUGAAGCUUCCGGGUCGUAACUCGUGGUUAGGGAAGAACAAGUGCUAGUGGAAUAAGCUGCACCCUUGACGGUACCUACCAGAAAAGCACCGGCUACUACGUGGCCAGCAGCCGCGGUAUACGUAGGUGGCAAGCGUAUCUGAAAUAUUGGGCGUAAAGCGCGCGCAGGUGGUUUCUAAGUCUGAUGUGAAAGCCCACGGCUCAACCGUGGAGGGUCAUUGGAAACUGGGAGACUUGAGUGCAGAAGAGGAAAGUGGAAUUCCAUGUGUAGCGGUGAAAUGCGUAGAGAUAUGGAGGAACACCAGUGGCGAAGGCGACUCUCUGGUCUGUAACUGACACUGAGGCGCGAAAGCGUGGGGAGCAAACAGGAUUAGAUACCCUGGUAGUUCACGCCGUAAACGAUGAGUGCUAAGUGUUAGAGGGUUUCCGCCCUUUAGUGCUGAAGUUAACGCAUUAAGCACUCCGCCUGGGGAGUACGGCCGCAAGGCUGAAACUCAAAGGAAUUGACGGGGGCCCGCACAAGCGGUGGAGCAUGUGGUUUAAUUUGAAGCAACGCGAAGAACCUUACCAGGUCUUGACAUCCUUUGAAAACCCUAGAGAUAGGGCUUUUCCUUCGGGAGCAGAGUGACAGGUGGUGCAUGGUUGUCGUCAGCUCGUGUCGUGAGAUGUUGGGUUAAGUCCCGCAACGAGCGCAACCCUUGAUUUUAGUUGCCAUCAUUAAGUUGGGCACUUUAAGGUGACUGCCGGUGACAAACCGGAGGAAGGUGGGGAUGACGUCAAAUCAUCAUGCCCCUUAUGACCUGGGCUACACACGUGCUACAAUGGACGGUACAAAGAGCUGCAAGACCGCGAGGUGGAGCUAAUCUCAUAAAACCGUUUUCAGUUCGGAUUGUAGGCUGCAACUCGCCUACAUGAAGCUGGAAUCGCUAGUAAUCGCGGAUCAGCAUGCCGCGGUGAAUACGUUCCCGGGCCUUGUACACACCGCCCGUCACACCACGAGAGUUUGUAACACCCGAAGUCGGUGGGGUAACCUUUUUGGAGCCAGCCGCCUAAGGUGGGACAGAUGAUUGGGGGAAGUCGAAUAGGAGUAUACGGG